rnacentral:misc_RNA from 1 species
UUAAGUUCAGCGGGUAUCCCUACCUGAUUCGAGGAGUUCCGUCACUACGCAAUCCCCCGCCCGUCGGACGGGCCAGGGCCGGGAGCCUCGCCGCGAGCCGGCGCCAAUGCGAAAUAUCACGCUCGGCAACGCUGCAGGCGUCCCGCCCAUGCAUUCCAGCCCGGUGGCAGCCCGCUCGGGCACGCCACCGCCGCCACGAC